AUGCGUAGUGGGCUUCUCGGGCGGUGGGGUGGGCGCGGAAUUUGGAGACCCACUUCGGGAAAGAGAGUGUUUCUCCACUCCCGGACUCUGCCAGUCAGGAUGGUGGUGCCUUCGCUGAAGCUUCAGGACCUCAUCGAAGAGAUUCGCGGGGCCAAGACUCAGGCCCAGGAGCGGGAGGUGAUCCAAAAGGAGUGUGCCCACAUCCGGGCCUCCUUCCGCGACGGGGACCCAGUGCACAGGCACCGGCAGCUGGCCAAACUGCUCUACGUCCACAUGUUGGGCUACCCCGCCCACUUU
rnacentral:ncRNA from 2 species